CCUUUUUUUUUUUAAAUUCCAGAGAUGCCUUGAAAAAGGUAAGUCAGAGGCUCAGGGAGCCUGUCAGUGGUCGGAGGGAAGCUGCAGGAAAAGAGACAAGGCAGUGGUCAAGUGCAGAAGCUUCCACCAGAGGCAAAUCCUCGCACCUCGCCUGGGUGCUCUUUGGAGACAGGAAGACACUGACUGACUGUAGAACAGGCAGGAUGGGAAUUUGGAAAGAGGCUGCUGGCUGCAGAUGGAGAUGGCCCUGAUGGUUUGAGGUUUGGAGCUGAGUCCCCACAACAGAAGGGCUUCUGUCCCUCCUGUGUCCGGUGUGGGGGAGUGGACUCCUCGAGUCACCACCAAGUACCUAGAGGUCUGGAGGCUCUGUCUAUGUCUACAGGACACCUGUCCCCAAAGUUCAAUUCAUGCCUCUGCCUAUGAGGCCCCCAGGUAGUGAGGCCAUGAAGACCAACCUCCUACACGCUGAAGUCCUGGCAAAUCUGAGGGCCCCCAGAGCCCUUGGAAUCAGAGACCCAGAGUGGCCACUUAUUAUAGAGAAAAUAGAAGCGUCAUUACAGCCAUUAUCAUGUGAAAAGAUCAAGUAUACUUCAUGUUGGGAAAACUUCAUUUACAAAAUUCAAAUGGACUGAGGUAGGUCAACAAGUAAGACAAUGAAAGUCUUACUGGGGGAUUAGGUGAAAACUGCCCUAGAGAUUUGCAGACCACUCCCUCCAUACAGGAUUUUAGGAAAAGUGCUGGGCUAUGGAGAGAAUGAAAAGAAUUCUUACUCUAGUUCAGAUGUCGGUGCAGCAGGCAGUCAGAUGAGAUGGUCACUAAACAUGGAGGGCAUCAGAGGGGGUCUGGUGGAGGACGUGGAACUUGAGUAGAGCUUGGUCAUGGCAUGGGGGUGGGGACGAGGUUCCAGGCAGCUGCCACCAAGAGGGCAAAUGCAAAGAGGUGGCAAUGUACACGGCAUGUUUUGUAAACAAAGACUAGUUGGCUGGAACAUGGGUUUGCAUACGGAAAUAGUGAGGAAUGAGGUCAAGUGGGUGGGAUAGAAUCUUCUCGGAUUGUACACCAGCCCACAGAUGCCAGUUAAUGAUUGGAUUCAAAGGGAGGGUGAGCCGGACUCUAAGAUUCUUUCGGAAAAUCACCAGGCUAAGAUUCUCUGGAACAGGGCUGGGAAAGGCACGAAAUCAGAACAUUUUGAUAAUGUGACUCAUCUAGCAAUCACAGAUUACUGCCAAGCUGUUCCACAGAAUAAAAACAUCACAAAGCCCAGGUAGGACAGAGUAAAUAGGUCCGUGGAUCUAGCAAGAGAAAUAAAAGGAAUACAGAAAUCAGUGUCAAGGGGAGUGUGAAGUUGAGGCAGGUAUUCACAUAUACACUGAGUGCCCUUGACCCAGGCUUUGAUGGACAGCAGGGUUAGAAUGGACACCUUCAGUGGCUUCUCUGAUCCCAGCCCCCCAGAGUAUGUAUGAACUCUACUUGUCUUCCUAUCGCAGUCCCCCUUGCCAAGGGCUGACCCUGCACUUGGGAGCCUGCACACACUCCCAGGAUGUCUCAUCCCUGCUCUGCUGGUCCCUCCCAGGGCCCCUGGUGGAUUCCUGCCCCAUCUGAAGGCAGGGUCCCACUACCACCAGUCACAGCCCAGCACGCCUCCUCCCUCCCACCAGCUCAGCAUUUUGUGUCUCUCUGGACCAAAGCCUUUCCUUCCUCUCUUUGCUGGUGGCUAAAAGUCUAAUUUGCUUUUCUUUUCUCUCUAGAAUGUCAGCAUGAAGGCAGAGGGGCGGUCUCUUGAGUCCUGUAACCCUGAAGCCUACCUCCGCGCCCACUAUACUGAAGGGCUUGGUGGAUGUUUACUUACUGAACUGAAUAGUAGUCACAAGGCCCUUUGAGACAGCUUGGGGGUUAGAAUUCAAGGCUUCUGUAGCCAGGGGAUACAUGAUUGGGGAGAACAUGUCAUAAGAAUGGGGAGUAAUUGAGACAGUUUGGGGGUAGGGAGGGGUGUGCACUGCCAGGCUAGUGCAAGUAUGCCUGGGAGUUAGAGCCAGAGAUGGAAGGGACAUCUUAGGAGAUGGGGUAAAACCUGCCAUGAUCCAGACACAGAGUCCAUACGGAGUACCCACAGAAAAAGGCCAGGAGGAGAGGAGACAGGUUUGUCAUAGGACCAUACAGGACAGGGAAAAGAGGCAGCUCCGGAGAGUGGACCCCAUAGUAUGUGCAGCUGAGAAGCAGAAAAAUAUGAUUUCUACAGCUGGUGUUAUAGGCUGAAUGUUGGUGUUCCGCCCCCAAAUGCAUACAGUGAAAUGCUUAUUCCCAGUGUGAUAGGAUUUGGAAAUAAAGCCUUUGAGAGAUGAUGCAGGUUAGAUGAGGUCGUGAAGGUGGGCCGCUCAUGAUGGGAUUGGCACCUUUCUCAGGAGAGGAGGAGCCACCAGAGCUCUCUCUCUCCAGGGUCCUGCACUGAGGAGAGCCCACAGGAGGACUCAGUGAGAAGGCAGCCAUCUUCAAACCAGGAAGAGAGCCCUCACCAGAGCCUGACCAUGCUGGCACCUUAACCUUGGACUUCCAGCCUCCAGAGCAGUGAGAAAUAAAUGCCUGUUGUUUAAGCCACCCAGUCCACGGCAUUUUGCUGUAACAGCUAGAGCCGACUAAGACAGGUGACUGGAUAGAAAUUCCACGGAUGACGGGAUCUUCAGAGAAAAUCUCAAGCAGAGGUGCCAUGGUUCCAGGUUUUGUACAAGGGUGUGUGAGUUCCUAAGGGCCAGGGCAGAGCUCCCAGGGCUUCUGAGCGAGGAUAUUCUCAUGUCUUGGGCAGAGGAGCCCUCGAGUGACAGCCCUCAGCCAUCCGCUGUUUUAUGGUCAUCCUCGGGGACCGAAAGGCCAGAUUCUAGACCAGAUCUCUCUGCGAAGCAAUAUCGGGCCAAGAGUGAGCCCAGGGUGAGUCGCAGGAGCCUGGGAUGGCCAGAAGCCGCUCAAGAAACUUUUCUCCAGCGUCCGGAUUAUUGGAAGCGGUGCGCUCGGUCUCGGUCCCGCGAAAAAGGCCCGCGGCCACCUGCGCCCCGGAUCCUGCUCCAGGAAAAGCUUCAAGGGAAGCUCUCCCCGCAAAGCCGAACUCAGAAAUGGUAGUAUCUUGGGAAAGGGGGGAAGCCUCUGAGACCUAGGAGAGAAAUGGGCUUUAGAAACAGGAGGGCUCAUCUUAUGCAUUUGGCUCUAAAUGUAAGUAAUGGCAUCAAGUCAAUUGAUCAGAAAGACAGAGUGUCUCUUGCUGAGGUUUGUUUAGAGAGCAUUUAGGAAAGAAAGAGUCGACAGCCUUGAAUUGUUUGAGCUACGUUUUAGGUGAUUUCCUUUGAUUUAUCAGCAUUAAAUUAAAUGAGAAAGCCUCAUCCUCUGUGCAUCUCAGGUUUAUUUCUUUCUUUGUUUAGCGGGGAGACCCUCAGCCUCCUCAAGAGAGAGAACAGACCUCUGCCCCAGGCUGGGCCGGGGGCGGACGGCUCCCUCCAGAAACCUAAGGGCGAUUUGCGUCUGAGCUAAUGGAAAUUCGGUUUCUCACCGUCUGGGUCUGUUGCUGAUUAAAAAUAAAGUAAAA